AUUGAACGCUGGCGGCAUGCUUUACACAUGCAAGUCGGACGGCAGCGGGGUAGUGCUUGCACUACUGCCGGCGAGUGGCGGACGGGUGAGUAAUAUAUUGGAACGUACCGAGUAAUGGGGGAUAACCAAUCGAAAGAUUGGCUAAUACCGCAUACGCUCUGAGGAGGAAAGCAGGGGACCUUCGGGCCUUGCGUUAUUCGAGCGGCCAAUAUCUGAUUAGCUAGUUGGUGGGGUAAGGGCCUACCAAGGCGACGAUCAGUAGCGGGUCUGAGAGGAUGAUCCGCCACACUGGGACUGAGACACGGCCCAGACUCCUACGGGAGGCAGCAGUGGGGAAUUUUGGACAAUGGGCGCAAGCCUGAUCCAGCCAUGCCGCGUGUCUGAAGAAGGCCUUCGGGUUGUAAAGGACUUUUGUUAGGGAAGAAAAAGGAGCGGUUAAUACCCGUUUCUGCUGACGGUACCUAAAGAAUAAGCACCGGCUAACUACGUG
rnacentral:rRNA from 1 species